rnacentral:rRNA from 1 species
UACGUAGGGGGCGAGCGUUGUCCGGAAUUACUGGGCGUAAAGGGUGCGUAGGCGGCCAUUUAAGUCUUGUGUGAAAGGCCCCGGCUUAACCGGGGAGCUGCAUGGGAAACUGGAUGGCUUGAGUGCUGGAGAGGGUUGCGGAAUUCCCAGUGUAGCGGUGAAAUGCGUAGAUAUUGGGAGGAACACCAGUGGCGAAGGCGGCAACCUGGACAGUAACUGACGCUGAGGCACGACAGCUGGGGGAGCAAACAGGAUUAGAAACCCCCGUAGUCC